UCAGAUCUACCUUUUCCUUUUAUAACCGAAGUCAAUAAAUGAGAAUUUCGCCUCAGGCACGAGCAUUUUCGCCCCAGGCACAGAAUUUUUGCCUGAGGCGCCAACAUUUUCGCCCCAGGCGAACAGGCAAACAAAGAGGUACUUUUUCUGGUGAAAUUUUCGCUUGAGGCACAGGAUUUUUCGCCUCAGGCGAACAAGCAAACAGAGAGGUGCUUUUCAACUGGGAAUUUUCGCCUGAGGCAUAGGAAUUUUCGCCUCAGGCACAAAAUUUUCGCCUGAGGCACCAACAUUUUUCAGCUACUUUCAUCCUUUGCAAAUAUCUUCAAACUAGUGCAUUAUUCUUCCAUGAAAUGAGUUACAAUACUUCUAAAAAACACUUGAAAUUGGUCUUAUUUUCAUGUAAUGACGCAUGUCAUCACAACCCCAAACUUAUUUCAUUCCUUGUCCUCGAGGAAUAUCUCAAUCUCUAAGAAAACAAAACACUACCUCAAUCCAUUUGGCUACACAAACUCAAACCCAAUCAAGUUAGACGUAAUUUGCAUAAUAUUUCAUCGAUCAAUUUCGUCAUGAUUCAAAUACACACAGUUUCAAAUUUAGUCAAAACAAAGAGCAUCAAACAAAGAUUGACCAUACUGAAUCUCUUCAGACCCUCACCGACUCUCCUGUUUAAGGGUAAUAUUCACUCAAUCAACACAUCAUAACUAGACUACUAUAAAUUUGCAGACAUUCUCAAAAAUCAAUCACCAUGUCAUGAGCAUACACAUUAGAGGACUUUUAUAGGUUAUAACGUGGCCUGGUUAUAAGGUGGAUGGUGGCAUUUCUGGUA
rnacentral:lncRNA from 1 species